UACGGAGGGUGCAAGCGUUAUCCGGAUUCACUGGGUUUAAAGGGUGCGUAGGUGGCUUUGUAAGUCAGUGGUGAAAGCCCGGAGCUCAACUCCGGAACUGCCAUUGAUACUGCUUAGCUUGAAUCAAGUUGAGGUGGAUGGAAUAUUACAUGUAGCGGUGAAAUGCUUAGAUAUGUAAUAGAACACCGAUUGCGAAGGCAGUUCACAAAGCUUGUAUUGACACUGAGGCACGAAAGCGUGGGGAGCAAACAGG
rnacentral:rRNA from 1 species